UACGGGAGGCAGCAGGGGGAAUAUUGCACAAUGGGCGCAAGCCUGAUGCAGCCAUGCCGCGUGUAUGAAGAAGGCCUUCGGGUUGUAAAGUACUUUCAGUCGUGAGGAAGGUGUUAAGGUUAAUAACCUUAGCAAUUGACGUUAGCGACAGAAGAAGCACCGGCUAACUCCGUGCCAGCAGCCGCGGUAAUACGGAGGGUGCGAGCGUUAAUCGGAAUUACUGGGCGUAAAGGGCACGCAGGCGGUUAAUUAAGUUGGAUGUGAAAUCCCCGGGCUUAACCUGGGAAUGGCAUUCAAGACUGGUUAGCUAGAGUCUUGUAGAGGGGGUAGAAUUCCAUGUGUAGCGGUGAAAUGCGUAGAGAUGUGGAGGAAUACCGGUGGCGAAGGCGGCCCCUGGACAAAGACUGACGCUCAUGUGCGAAAGCGUAGGGGAGCAAACAGGGAUUAGAUACC
rnacentral:rRNA from 1 species